AGUGAACGCUGGCGGUAGGCCUAACACAUGCAAGUCGAACGGCAGCACAGUAAGAGCUUGCUCUUACGGGUGGCGAGUGGUGGACGGGUGAGGAAUACAUCGGAAUCUACUUUUUCGUGGGGGAUAACGUAGGGAAACUUACGCUAAUACCGCAUACGACCUACGGGUGAAAGCAGGGGAUCUUCGGACCUUGCGCGAUUGAAUGAGCCGAUGUCGGAUUAGCUAGUUGGCGGGGUAAAGGCCCACCAAGGCGACGAUCCGUAGCUGGUCUGAGAGGAUGAUCAGCCACACUGGAACUGAGGCACGGUCCAGACUCCUACGGGAGGCAGCAGUGGGGAAUAUUGGACAAUGGGCGCAAGCCUGAUCCAGCCAUACCGCGUGGGUGAAGAAGGCCUUCGGGUUGUAAAGCCCUUUUGUUGGGAAAGAAAAGCAGCAGGUUAAUACCCCGCUGUUCUGACGGUACCCAAAGAAUAAGCACCGGCUAACUUCGUG
rnacentral:rRNA from 1 species